UAGCAAGUUAAGAUGGCUUCUCGUAUUUGCUUAGGUCCCCAAGGAGCAGUAUCCCCUCCUUCUCGUGAACCCGAGCCACAUGCUGUGGCCUGGGCUGGGGCUUGGCUGACACGGACAUAUUCUGAACUCUCAGCAGAAGAUGCCCAUGGACAGACCUUCACGUUCCCAGAUCUGUUUCCCGAGAAAGACGAGAGCCCUGAAGGCAGCGCUGCCGACGACCUCUACAGCAUGC
rnacentral:sRNA from 1 species